CAGUUAAAUUUCAAUUUCAAAAAACAACCAAUAAAUUGUUAGUAUAAGUAUUCCCAUGCACUAUUUGGGACACACUUAUUCUAAAAAAUUAUUCACUGUUUAUCUGAAAUUCUAACUGAAAAAAAAAACCCCGU
rnacentral:miRNA from 1 species